AAUAUUGGGACAUAAAAAAAAAGACAACUCUGUUCUGCAGAGUAGCUGUUGACAUUAUAGUUGCGCAGGCACUUUGUUGUCUCUAGAGAACCUCUGGCCAAUCGCACAUCCCCGUGAUGGCGACUUUGCAUUCAGAUGUCAUCCAUAUCAACUUUCGAUGCCAGUUUCUGUGCCUACCAUGGUGACCACAGGUAAUGGGGAAUCAUGGUUCCAUUCCAUACAGGGACCCUGAAAAACAGCUACCACAUGCAAGGAAGGCAGCAGGCACGCAAAUGACCCACUCCCGACGCGGGAAGGUAGUGA
rnacentral:rRNA from 1 species